GGCAUGGCUCAGUGGUUGAGCAUCAACCUAUGAACCAGGAGAUCUGGGUUCGAUUCCCGGUUAGGCCA
rfam:Myotis brandtii contig321656, whole genome shotgun sequence.